rnacentral:lncRNA from 1 species
AUAAUAUCUAAAACAGAAAAAAAAAAUUAAGGCAGUAAGGAUGUUAUUUAGCAAUUGGGCAAAUGCUGAAAGUGCCCCUAGGAAAGAAGAAUCAAGGGUGAGAAUGAGUAAAGUAAGGCGACCACUGUUUUCCAGUGUUAUUUAUGUAAAUCACGCACAUAUACUACUUUGCUAAAAAUAAAAAUUAAAUUAAAGGUAUGGCAAAUAGUAUUAGGGAAUCAUUAAAAUGCACCAAACCUCAAUAGCGGUAAAUUAUUUGAAUCUUGGUAGGAUGCGCUGUGCUUUAGCAAAUAUCUGUAUUUGAAGGGCUCCUCUCAUAGAAAGAAAACAAAGGACAGAAAGCAUUGCUGAGGGGUUUAGGUGUGGAUAAAAUGACAGAGUUAAGCUGAAGAAUCCCCAUGUUGACAGCAUUCAAUCCAAGGCAACCUCCACUGUGCACAUGUUCUAACAUAUGUUAAAAUUUUCAAUCUCUCAUCUCUCUAUUAGUUUUCAUCCUCAGAGUCACCGAGGGGCCAUUUUGCAGAAGGGGAAUCUACUAAAAUGGAUCAGGGACUUGGUGGCAAGGAAUCAAUCCAUUUUUUUAACAUGGAAAAAGCAUAUGAUUCAGUAUUCUGUAAACAAAACAAACACUGUUCCCAUACUCUUUGAAUAUAUGAGACAAUUAUUUAAGUAACUUGUCACUUUUUAUACUUUGAGAAUAUUGCAUCUGUAUUUUCUUCUGUAUCCUUUCUAUAUCUUUAGUUUAUGCAGCCAAUAUUCUUGAUCAGAGAGCAAGAUCAUUCAUUUUAGUUUAUUUGGUUUUAAAAAAUAAAAAUGGCUACAUUAAAGCGUAAAUACAUUAGUCUCAUCACAGGCGAAAAUUAGGCACCAUCAUCUGCCAGGUUUGUGAUUUUUCACAAAGAGCCAGGUCAUAAGGAAAUUCGAUGUAAGUAGCUGUGAAUAUUUCUGUGCAAAGAAUGUAUACUUGGAAAUGUGUGUGUGUGUGUGUGUAUAAACCUAUGUACAUGUAUAUACAUAUAUGUAUACAUAUGUAUGCACACAUGUACAGACACAUACACAUACACGCAGUGUGUAUGAGAUUCUAGGAACAAGAUUUGAAUGAAUAGCUUCUUUUAUUGUAAAAUGAUGCCAUCUUUAGUAUUUCUAUAAGAAAAAAAAUAAGUUUAAGCAAUAAAUCAAUGGGCAGAAAAAAAUAACAAGUGAAAUUGUCAUUUCCUUUUUCAACUCCACAUGAAGUUAGUCUAGGACUGUGAGAUUACAAAAUAAGGAAGGAGUCUACAUUGGAGUCCCCAGAGGACUUGCAAAAGGUCAGAACAGUAUCUGGCUUUUCAUGUGUGUUGUGCCUGGACUUUGUUACUCUGGUAAGAUGCCUUUGUAAGCACAACAAACUGGCAGUUUAUCUUAAAAUCUGUAGAGUGGAUCGCAGUGCUGUUCACUAGAGUGAAUGCUCGUCUUGCUUCUUAUCUUGUUCCACAUUUCCAAAGGGCUCAUCCAAGCAUUGAUUUCCAAGGACGAUUUGCUACAGAUUAGCUUUUUUACUUUCUUCUUUUUUGACAGGGUGAACCAAAAGAGAGCCCCAUGUAUCCUGUACCUGCUUCCCCAGCUUGGAGCAGGCCAGCCAUUCAUAAUCUGGAGCAUCAUGUGUCCGCUUCAAAAAGCUCAUGUCUUCUGUUUAUGCAUGGGGACAGCAAAUUAUGAGGCAUUCUUUGUCUUUUACUCCCAAUCGAUUUCAGAGAACAGUUUGUGUGUGUGUGUAGCAAAAAUCCCUUAAGUCCUCUGUGUGCUUUGCUAUCAUUGUUUAGGUGCUAAAGUGAAGUCAACGUGUCACCUAAUCA